rnacentral:rRNA from 1 species
UACGUAGGGUGCAAGCGUUACUCGGAAUUACUGGGCGUAAAGCGUGCGCAGGCGGCUAUGCAAGACAGAUGUGAAAUCCCCGGGCUCAACCUGGGAACUGCAUUUGUGACUGCAUGGCUAGAGUACGGUAGAGGGGGAUGGAAUUCCGCGUGUAGCAGUGAAAUGCGUAGAUAUGCGGAGGAACACCGAUGGCGAAGGCAAUCCCCUGGACCGGUACUGACGCUCAUGCACGAAAGCGUGGGGAGCAAACAGG